UGCUCAUUUUGUGCAUAAGUUAAAACUGAAGGGAAAGGGGGGCGAUACCUUCUAAGCAUUUCUGGAUUCCGGCAAACAACAGCUGUAGAUCGACCAUUCAGUUGCCGGAUCGCUCUUCUCCUUCACAUACGCAGCUUAUGCCGAAAAAACAAUCAUGGAUUCCGGCGAGAAGAUAAAAGAAACAACAGCUAUAGACCAACAAAAAACCAUGGAUUCCAGCUAGCUGAGAAAAUAGAAGAAACAACAGCUGUAACCAAAAACCAGUCAUGGAUUCCGGUGAAAAGAUAGAAGAAACAACAACGGUAGACCGAUCAGUUAGUUUCCUGAAGCUCUUUUUCUUCACAGUCUCUUUCUUAUGCCAACGGGAUCAGAUAUCCGUAACAAGUGCUCUCUCAAACAGGUAGCUUUAUCUUUGAAAUUUACUUGAUAUCUUCUCUUUUAGUAACUUUAAUUACCACGAAGGAUAUGUAUCCUAGGUUGAUUAUGGCUUAGUAAUUUUGUUUCUCUCCCAAAUUAAAAAAAUUCAUCUUGACAACUUUGAUCAAGGGAAAAUGUGAAACUUAGGUCAGUUUUUAAAGGAGAGAUUUGUUCAUUGUCAAAAUGUUUAUACACAUUCAUUUGAUAAUAAUAAUUUUGAGAUUUUGAUGCCAUUUGGUUAUAACGUGAAAGUUUCCGUAUAGUAUAAAAUUGAUAUGGAUGGUAUUAUUUAAAGACCAUAUUGUGAAUUUAUUGUUGGAAUGUUCUCUAUUAGAAACUAUGGAAUCAUCUCGUUUUAAGGAUUUUAGUCUCUUUGAAAUUAGGUCUUUGAAAUUGAAGAGGAAUUUGAUAUCAUAUAAUGAUGAUCAAGAAAUAGAUCAUUUCGUGAAAAUUGUUGUCUCCUACACUACAUUCAUUAUUUAGAGAUUUCAGAAAGUCAUCAUGUUUUUAAGUGUAGGCUUGUAACCAUGUCAUAUGUGGUUAAUACUAAGCUUAUGUUCAACAUUACAUCCGUCAAAGACAUCCAAUAUUAUACCGCAUGUUACAUGUCUUUGAUACAUGUAAUGUCGAACAUAAGCUUAGUAUUAACCAUGGAGGAUAUGUCUACAAGCCUACACUUGAGACCAUGAAGACUUCCUGAAGUUUCCAAAUGAUGAAGAUAGGGGGCAACAAUUUCCAAGGAAUGAUCAAUUUCUUCAUCAUUGUUGUAUGAUAUCGAAUUCAGUCUCUUUAAUUUUGAAGACCUAAGUUCCAUGCGACUAAAACCUUUAAAACAAGAUAAUUCGAUAGUUUCUAAUGCAGGACAACCCAACAGUAAGUUCACAAUAUGGUCAUUGGAUAACACUAUCCACUUCAAUUUUAUGCUUUUAGAGACUUUCAUGCUAUGGACACAGUAGCAUCAAAAUCCCAAAAUUAGUGUUAUCAGCGAUGAACAAGUGCAUAAACAUUCAGGCAAUGCACAAACCUCUUCGUUAGAAACUAACCGGAGUUUCAAUUUUCCACUUGUGUGCAUCCGGCUCAAGGCUAUCAAGUUGGAUUUUUUAAUUUUGGAAGAAACGGAAUAACCUAAUACAUAAUGAACAUAGGAUACAUAUCAUUCAUGGUAAUUAAAGGUACUAAAACAUAAGGUAUCAAGUAAAUUCCAGAGAUAGCGCCAUCUUUUUGAGAGAUCGCUUGUUAUGAGUGUUUGAUCAUUCAGUAUAAGAGAGCGAGGGAGAAGAGCAUCCGGCAAUUGACUGAUUUGGUCUACAGCUUUAGGUCUUGUGGACGACCGACCAAAGGAGCUCUUGGAGUUUCAAAUUAAUUAUACCGCGUGUUACUCUUUUAAGUGCCCAAUUCGUCAAAGUCUUAUGCUUCUCUUCAUUCAUUUUCAUUUCUUCCAUUUGUAAUUUAUCACUGCUCUCUCCCUCUAAUUUCUCCAUUUUCCCCUUGCUUUUACUUGGUGCGAAUAGAAAGUAUAAUACACAACAUUCUUGGAUUUACUUGGCAUGUUUUAAAUCUUGUGACGCUGCACACUCCAGCUUAUACUCUCCCUCAUUGAACUAAAAAGUAGAAAUCGAUUUUGUGUGUGUGUGUCUCUUUCUUACCUAGUUCUUUUGUUCAGAAAGUACGAGCAACUGUGGUAAAGAGCAACUUGAAUCCAAUUCAUGGGACUGUAAGGCUGGUAGACAUUCCAUUUCACAUUUGUCUGAGAGUACAAGCAACUGUAGUAAAGAGCACCUUGAAUCCAGUUCAGGAUUAGGAACUAAUGCUUUCAGUUACGCAAGAUCAUGAUUCAUGGGACUGUAAAGCUGGUAGACAUUCCAUUUAACCUUUGUCUGGCAAUUUUACUUACCUUUUUCUCCCUUUUAUAUUGUCAAUGUAACUCAAUGAUUUACUUUGAAUGUGUCAGAUAUCCAAUAGGUUCAGGUAAGGAAAAUUACUUUUUGGUGUAAAUACAUCCCACAUUUUUUUUUUUGAAAUUCAAGGCAUUCACCCUUUAAGAAAUCAUUGAAAGACUGAAUCUUUCAACUAAAAAUUUCCACUUUUAGCCUAGCUUUUUGGUAAUUAUUUCUUCCCAGUGCAUGUAUCUGUCAGCCCAUGGUUUUUCAUUGUGUUCGGUUGACUUUUUGCUAGCAAUUUAUCCCUUAGCGCUUAUGUUUGAGAAUCAAUGGAACUCAUGUUGAUUAGCCAACCCUUAUUUGAAUUCUUUUUUUGCUUGAGCGAAUACUACUCGAGAUCUGCUUAAGUUAUAGCUAGUCUGAUCAGCUUUAAUAUGUGGAUUUGUGUUGAUUCUUUUUUCAAUUUGUUUGUGGCAAUAAUAGUUGUAGUUAUCAUCCUUUGAUCAUUUUGGUGUCACGGUGAUAGAUAUAUAAUGGUACAUCUAAAUUAUCAUGUAAAUGGCAUUGAGUGUUGUUCAAAGUUAGAGGCCGGACUCUGGUAGGAGAUCAAGUGGUAAAAAUAUCAACUAAUAAUAAGAAGAAAGUUGUUGGGAGAUAAAUGACAUUCUAAAACAUGUCUCUGCAUGCCCACGGUAUCCUUCCCGAGUUUUGCAAAACUUCUAUUAUUUCUCCUAUCCUUUCUUAUGAAUUCCCAGUUUUUGAAUGAGUAGUAGCCUCUGUCUCUGGAUAGGCUUAUUCGUUUUCCAUACGUCGUUGAUAUAUUAUUCCUGAAGAGCCAAGGUGAGAACUUAUGAUGGCCAUGAAAGCCAAUGUUUUUUUUUGUUUUAAACAUCAACAGUGCAUCUUUAAAAAGGAAGUACAGAGACUGUGGGAGUUGUCUAGCAAAACAGACUCCCCAGCUAAGAUUGAAAUGCAUGUUUUAAGCAAAAAUUAAGGUAAAUGAAAGCUGAUGUGAACAGUGAUUCAACUGCAACUACUUAUAUUCCAAUUCAUGAAAAAAGACGGAGUUUAGAAAGAAAAUAAUUUGUUCUUGAGGUAAGCUCUUAAACAAGGUUCUUCUAGGCCCUUUGCUGCUUUAUAUCUUUGCCUUUGUAAAACGCCAUGAUAUUAUUCAAAAAUUGCUCCAAGGAUGAUAAAGGUUGAAUUAGCAUUAUAUUUUUGAUGAUUCUUUUGUGGUUGUUGGUAUUUGUGAUGACUUAUAUGAGGGCUUACUUGAUUCAAAUAUGUAAUUCUGAUUCAUUAUUUUGUUUGUUAAAAUACCCAAAGGUUAACCAAGUCCCUUUUGCAGUCACUUUUUGGCUUCCAUGGAAUAAAGGUAAUUAAAGUUAAAACUUAUUUGUCUUCUUCGCGUGUUCUGAUUCACUCUACCAUAAAUCAUGUGUCGCUGCACAUGUUUUAAAAAGUAGUGCUUGAGAUGACUAUUCAGAUCACGGUUUAUUGUAUUCAGUUUGUAGAAUACAAAACAAGAUCCUCUAACCCAUCUUAGGUAACUCUUCCUUAAUAUCUCCUCUUUGUUGCGUAUGUAGCUUAUGAUUGUCGCAUGCAGCAUAUACGUUGCCCUCUAUAAGGUAUUCUGGAGUAUUUAUUUUGUGUUUCAUGCAUUUACACUAAGGUGAGAAGUCAUAUUAGGAACUUCCUUUCUAAGCCUCUGAAAAUUGUUUUAUAUCAUACAUUACUGGAAUGAACUCUUUUUCCCUAUUUGUCGUCUGUGGAAUAUUCCAAUAUGUUCCUAUUAGGCUGCAUUUGAUCCUGAUUAUAUUAUUCGCUACAGUUUCAUGAUUUCCACUGCCAACUUGAGCGAAACUAUUUGGUCAAAGGAGAUAAUAUCAAUCUGCAAAGUUGGAUGUCAAACAUUGUGUUUCCCAAUCUCAAGAAUGUUAAAAUUACCACCUGCAUAACACAUUGUUUGAAAGAGGCGAUAAGCUUUUUGAACUUUCAGAGUUUCUACUAAGGAAGGCAAUGACUUGAAGAAGUCCGUUAUCAUAUCAAAGAUGAGAAUCUGCUGGAAAUGUUCAGAACAAUUUGUUUCCCAAUAUUUAUCACAAAUCGUAUCCAAGAGUCUUGUUCACGAGUAUUUA